AGCUUUGCGCAGUGGCAGUAUCGUAGCCAAUGAGGUUUAUCUGAGGCGAGAUUAUUGCUAAUUGAAAACUUUUCCCAAUACCCCGCCUUGAUGACUUGCAAUAUAGUUGGCACUGGCAAUUUUUGAGUCUCUAUGGAGA
ensembl:snRNA U4 U4 spliceosomal RNA